UACGUAGGGGGCGAGCGUUGUCCGGAUUUAUUGGGCGUAAAGAGCGUGUAGGCGGCCAGGUAGGUCUGCUGUGAAAACUCGAGGCUCAACCUCGAGACGGCGGCGGAAACCAUCUGGCUAGAGUCCGGAAGAGGAGAGUGGAAUUCCUGGUGUAGCGGUGAAAUGCGCAGAUAUCAGGAGGAACACCGGUGGCGAAGGCGGGUCUCUGGGCCGAGAUCGACGCUGAGGCGCGAAAGCUAGGGGAGCAAACGGG
rnacentral:rRNA from 1 species